rnacentral:lncRNA from 1 species
GAAAAGAGGGCGCUUUUUUUGGCCUAUAACAGCGCUUUAAAGCGCCCUCUAAUCUGGCGCUGGCAUAGGUAAAGACAACGCUUUUUUUCCUAGUGAAAGUGCUGUCUAAAGUGGCUCUUUAAGACCUUUAAGGGCCACUUUAGAGGGCUCUUUUUCAAAAAAGCGCCCUCUAAAGUGGAAAUAUUUAAGGGGUUUAGAGGGCGCUUUUACUGGAAAGCGCCCUCUAAAGUGGAAACUUUUAAGGGUUUAGAGGGCGCUUUCC